UUCUUAGGCUCCAUGCCACAGUGCCAUCAUUUUGCAUGCAGGUAGAAAUCAAGGGACAACCUGUAGAAGUCCACAUUCUCCACCUACCAUGUGAGUUCCAGGAACUGAACUCAGGCCAUCAUGUUUGGUGACAGGCAGCUUUACUGGUGAGCCAUUUCACCAGCCUCGAAGGCCAGUAACUCCAUCUUCUCUGCCCACUUCAAGUGCUAAAAUCUCCAGUUACAUACACACGGACUUCUGGAGAGAGUGAAGAUGCCCCUCUUUCACGCCCUGUGGUCAUACUGAAAAUCAAGAGUAAGUGAGCUUUUGC
rnacentral:lncRNA from 1 species